CAGUUGUUUUUUUAGGACUAGACUUGCUUAUAAAAUAAAAAUGCCAAAUAUGUGUUCUGCAGAGAAAGCAACCAAAUGCUAAGUGUUGUCAUAUAAUUUUUUGAUUGGUUUACAUUAUUCAUUUUAUUGAAAAAGGGAUAGAAUGUUUUUGUUUGUUUUGUUUUUUCCUGUUUGUUUGUUUGUUUGUUUGUUUGUUUGUUUGUUUGUUUGUUUGUUUGUUUGUUUGUUUGUUUGUUUGGGAGGGGGGCUUUCAUGUGCUGCCAUUAGAAAAUGUUAUUUUUACCAUUUCUAAGUAAACAUGAUGACAGUAUUAUGGAAAAAAGCAAUGAGUAAAUCUUUUAUCAUAACUCUGGUUUUGCUUGGCCUUUAAAAACAAGUUUUUUUUAAAAACAGGUGAAUAGUCCACACUUUUCACCCAACUCUGUCGACUCCAGAAUCAAGAAAAAAGUAAAAAAUGACCCCUUUCUUGAGUAACUGCAAAGAGAUCAAGGUUGUCAUUAAGAUUUGGAAAUUGCCAACCAGAACACUAGGUGUGGCAACGCACAAAUAAAGCUCAUGACACCUGGUGCUCCACCUCGUAAUGCUUCCCAGUCAAUCUGAGGGUUGUGCUGGCUAAGCGAAGAAUAGCUGUACUCACACUCAGCUCCAGUUAACCCAACAGUCAGCGUCAUGGACUGGUUUGCACUGUAUUUCUCACUCCUGACAGCUCUGAUGCCUCUUUACAGUGGUGCUCAAAGCUGUUUGGGCCCACCAGUUCUGUGUUGCACUGGUGUAGACAACAGCUGUCGUAGAGGAUGUUACUGUGAUGAAGCGUGUGAGAAAGCUGGCGACUGCUGUCCUGACUACUUUUCAACCUGUAGACAGUCUUCUUUGUCCACGGUUGCCCCGGCCUCCACCGUUGCCUCCACCGCUUCAUCCACCGCUGUCCCGGCAUCCACCGUUGCCUCCACCGUUUCAUCCACCGCUGUCCCGACAUCCAAAGCUGAAUCCACAGCUGAAUCCACCGCUGAAUCCACAGCUGUCCCGGCAUCCACCGCUGCCUCCACCGCUGUCCCAGCAUCCACCAUUGCCUCCACUGCUGCAUCCACCGCUGCAUCCACCGCUGUAUCAGCAUCCACCACUGCAUCCACCGCUGUCCCGGCAUCCACCAUUGCCUCCACUGCUGCAUCCACUGCUGUACCGGCAUCCACCGCUGCAUCCACCACUGAAUCCACCGCUGCCUACAACACUGUUCCGGCAUCCACCGCCGAAUCCACCGCUGUCCCGGCAUCCACCGCUGCCUCCACUGCUGUCCCGGUAUCCACCAUUGCACCCACUGCUGGAUCCACUGCUGCAUCCACCGUUUCAUCCACCGCUGUCCCCGCAUCAACCGCUGCAUCCACCACUGAAUCCACCACUGCAUCCAACACUGUCCCGGCAUCCACCGCUGAAUCCACCGCUGUUCCGGCAUCCACCAUUGCAUCCACUGCUGCAUCCACCAUUUCAUCCACCACUGUCCUGGCAUCCACCGCUGCCUCCACCGCUGCAUCCAUCACUGCAUCGACAUCCACCGCUGUCCCGGAAUCCACCGCCGAAUCCACCACUGCAUCCACCGCUGUCCCGUCAUCCACCGCUGCAUCCACCGCUGAAUCCACACCUGAUUCAACUGCUGAAUCCACUGCUGCAUCCACCGCUGCAUCCACCACUGUCCCGGCAUCCACCGCUGAUUCCACUGCUGAAUCCACCACUGCAUCCACCGCUGUCCCGACAUCCACCGCUGAAUCCACCGCUGAAUCCACACCUGAUUCAACCACUGAAUCCACUGCUGAAUCCACCACUGCAUCCACCGCUGUCCGGACAUCCACCGCUGAAUCCACCGCUGAAUCCACACCUGAUUCCACUGCUGAAUCCACUGCUGCAUCCACCGCUGCAUCCACCACUGUCCCGGCAUCCACCGCUGAUUCCACUGCUGAAUCCACUGCUGCAUCCACCGCUACAUCCACCGCUGUAUCCACCGCUGUCCCGGCAUCCACCGCUGCAUCCACCGCUGAUUCAACCACUGAAUCCACUGCUGAAUCCACCACUGCAUCCACCGCUGUCCCGGCAUCCACCGUUUCAUCCACCACUGUCCCUGCAUCGACCGCUGCAUCGACCGCUGCAUCGACCACUGAAUCCAUCGCUGUCCCACCAUCCACCGCUGCAUCCACCGCUGUCCCGGCAACAACCAUUGCAUCCACCGCUGCAUCCACCGCUGUCCCGACAUCCACCGCUGAAUCCACAGCUGUCCCGGCAUCCACCGCUGCAUCCACCGCUGCAUCCACCGCUGCAUCCACCGCUGAUUCCACCGCUGAAUCCACUGCUGAACCCACUGCUGCAUCCACUGCUGCAUCGACCGCUGUCCCAGCAUCCACCGCUGAUUUCACCGCUGAAUCCACCGCUGAAUCCACUGCUGAAUCCACCACUGCAUCCACCGCUGUCCCGGCAUCCACCGCUGCAUCCACCGCUGUCCCAGAAUCCACCGUUUCAUCCACCACUGUCCCCGCAUCGACCACUGCAUCGACCACUGAAUCCAUCGCUGUCCCGCCAUCCACCGCUGCAUCCACCGCUGUCCCGACAUCCACCGCUGAAUCCACAGCUGUCCCGGCAUCCACCGCUGCAUCCACCGCUGCAUCCACCGCUGAUUCCACCGCUGAAUCCACUGCUGAACCCACUGCUGCAUCCACUGCUGCAUCGACCGCUGUCCCGGCAUCCACCGCUGCAUCCACCGCUGAUUUCACCGCUGAAUCCACUGCUGAAUCCACCACUGCAUCCACCGCUGUCCCGGCAUCCACCGCUGCAUCCACCGCUGUCCCAGAAUCCACCGUUUCAUCCACCACUGUCCCCGCAUCGACCACUGCAUCGACCACUGAAUCCAUCGCUGUCCCGCCAUCCACCGCUGCAUCCACCGCUGUCCCGGCAACCACCAUUGCAUCCACCGCUGCAUCCACCGCUGUCCCGAAAUCCACCGCUGCAUCCACCGCUGCAUCCACCGCUGCAUCCACCGCUUUCCCGGCAUCCACCGCUGCAUCCACCGCUGAUUCCACCGCUGAAUCCACCGCUGUCCCGCCAUCCACCGCUGCAUCCACCGCUGUCCCGGCAACCACCAUUGCAUCCACCGCUGCAUCCACCGCUGUCCCGAAAUCCACCGCUGAAUCCACCGCUGAAUCCACCGCUGUCCCGGCAUCCACCGCUGAAUCCACCGCUGCAUCCACCGCUGCAUCCACCGCUGCAUCCACCGCUGUCCCGGCAUCCACCGCUGCAUCCACCGCUGAUUCCACCGCUGAAUCCACCGCUGCAUCCACCGCUGCAUCCACCGCUGUCCCGCCAUCCACCGCUGCAUCCACCGCUGAUUCCACCGCUGAAUCCACUGCUGCAUCCACCGCUGCAUCCACCGCUGUCCCGCCAUCUACCGCUGCAUCCACUGCUGAUUCCACCGCUGAAUCCACUGCUGAAUCCACUGCUGCAUCCACCGCUGUCCCGACAUCCACCGCUGAUUCAACCGCUGAAUCCACCACUGCAUCCACCGCUGUCCCGGCAUCCACCGCUGCAUCCACCAUUGUCCCAGAAUCCACCGUUUCAUCCACCACUGUCCCCGCAUCGACCGCUGCAUCGACCACUGAAUCCACCGCUGUCCCGGCAUCCACCGCUGCAUCCACCGCUGCAUCCACUGUUUCAUCCACCGCUGCAUCCACCGCCAAAUCCACCACUGCAUCCACCGCUGUCCCGUCAUCCACCGCUGCAUCCACCGCGGCAUCCACCGCUGCAUCAACCGGUGUCCCGGCAUCCACCAUUGCCUCCACUGCUGCAUCCACCUCGGCAUCUACAACUGUCCCGGCAUCCACCAUUGCAUCCACUGCUGCAUCCACCGUUUCAUCCACCACUGUCCCGGCAUCCACCGCUGCAUCAACCGCUGCAUCCACCACUGCAUCCACCGCUGUCCCGGUAUCCACCAUUGCAUCCACUGCUGAUUCCACUGCUGCAUCCACCGUUGCAUCCACCACUGCAUCCACUGCUGUCCCAGCAUCCACCGUUUCAUCCACCGCUGUCCCCACAUCGACCACUGCAUCGACCUCUGAUUCCACCGCUGUCCUGGCAUCCACCGCUGCAUCCACCGCUGAAACCACCGCUGUAUCCAACACUGUCCCAGCAUCGACCGCUGAAUCCACCGCUGUCCCGGCAUCCACCGCUGCCUCCACCCCUGUCCCAGCAUCCACCAUUGCCUCCACCGCUGCAUCAACCGCUGCCUCCACCCCUGUCCCAGCAUCAACCAUUGCCUCCACCACUGCAUCCACCGUUUUCUCAGCAUCCAACGAAAAGCAACAUGCAUUAUUCAAGCUUCUUUCAAUAACCAGUCUCAUCUCUUUCAUAGUUUCAGGGACUUUUCCAGCAUAGCUAUAAGAGCUUGUUCUUGUUUGUUUUAUUCAUUAUCAAUAGCCACAAUAAAAGGCUUGCUUUUUGUUUAAACUACACAUUCUCUCUCAGCAUCUUCUUUUGGGUGUUUCUAAAAUAGACCAGUGUACCCCGCUGUGACAGUAUCUUUAAUAUAUAUUUAGAUAGGUUUUAAGGGUUUUUAAUACAUUUUCAAGAAAUUUCACCUCUCAUUUUAUGUAAAAAAAUCUAUAAAAAUUAAGAUUUUUUUGGGGGGGGAGGGUUGUUUUUUGCAUACUAAUGUAGCAUUUAGAAAUGCAAUUCCACAGUGCUGUUAGAAUUUUCCACAUGAUAAUUACUUUAGCCUACAUUAUGUAAUAUAGCAUAGAUUUGAGCUUUAAUACUACUGAUAAGAAAAAUCCAUGUAAAUGGUGUUACUGACUUUAUUUCUGCCAUGAUUAAUGCAUUCUUGCAUAAACAAAUAAACAAAUGUAAC
ensembl:lncRNA